rnacentral:rRNA from 1 species
AUUGAACGCUGGCGGAAUGCUUUACACAUGCAAGUCGAACGGCAGCACGGGGCAACCUGGUGGCGAGUGGCGAACGGGUGAGUAAUACAUCGGAACGUGCCCAAUCGUGGGGGAUAACGUAGCGAAAGUUACGCUAAUACCGCAUACGAACUACGGAUGAAAGCGGGGGAUCGCAAGACCUCGCGCGAAUGGAGCGGCCGAUGUCAGAUUAGGUAGUUGGUGGGGUAAAGGCUCACCAAGCCAACGAUCUGUAGAUGGUCUGAGAGGACGACCAGCCACACUGGGACUGAGACACGGCCCAGACUCCUACGGGAGGCAGCAGUGGGGAAUUUUGGACAAUGGGCGCAAGCCUGAUCCAGCCAUUCCGCGUGCAGGAUGAAGGCCUUCGGGUUGUAAACUGCUUUUGUACGGAACGAAACGGUUCUCUCUAAUACAGGGGGCUAAUGACGGUACCGUAAGAAUAAGCACCGGCUAACUACGUGCCAGCAGCCGCGGUAACAC